rnacentral:rRNA from 1 species
AUUGAACGCUGGCGGCAGGCCUAACACAUGCAAGUCGAACGAGUGGCGGACGGGUGAGUAAUGCCUGGGAAACUGCCUGAUGGAGGGGGAUAACUACUGGAAACGGUAGCUAAUACCGCAUACCAUCAGAUGGGCCCAGAUGGGAUUAGGUUGUUGGUGGGGUAAAGGCUCACCAAGGCGACGAUCCCUAGCUGGUCUGAGAGGAUGACCAGCCACCCUGGAACGGAGACACGGUCCAGACUCCUACGUGAGGCAGCAGUGGGGAAUAUUGCACAAUGGGCGCAAGCCUGAUGCAGCCAUGCCGCGUGUAUGAAGAAGGCCUUCGGGUGGUAAAGUACUUUCAGCGAGGAGGCGUUACCCACAGAAGAAGCACCGGCUAACUCCGUGCCAGCAGCCGCGGUAAUAC